GAGUUUGAUCGUGGCUCAGGACGAACGCUGGCGGCGUGCUUAACACAUGCAAGUCGAACGGUGAACCCGCUUCGGUGGGGGAUCAGUGGCGAACGGGUGAGUAACACGUGGGCAACCUGCCCCCGGCUCUGGGAUAACUCCAAGAAAUUGGGGCUAAUACCGGAUAUUCACCGCUGCCCGCAUGGGGUGGUGGUGGAAAGUUUUUCGGCUGGGGAUGGGCCCGCGGCCUAUCAGCUUGUUGGUGGGGUGAUGGCCUACCAAGGCGACGACGGGUAGCCGGCCUGAGAGGGUGACCGGCCACACUGGGACUGAGACACGGCCCAGACUCCUACGGGAGGCAGCAGUGGGGAAUAUUGCGCAAUGGGCGGAAGCCUGACGCAGCGACGCCGCGUGGGGGAUGAC
rnacentral:rRNA from 1 species